AGAACACUGGAACACGAAACAGCAAUACGAAAACCAGAGUCAAUGAACUGACCCUGCCCUCAGGGAGAGGCAGUGUCUUAUACCUGUCUAAUCAGUGAUUAGCCACAGGUGAACCAUGAGUGACAGGAGCAGUCUCAGGUAAAUUCCAACCCCCAGUGCUGGAUACAAGGCAAGAUCCAAACUUCAGACUAUUACUUGAGCUGUAUGGUGGCUCAGAG